CAUGUCGUCCUUGUUCUUCCCCGUCCCUGCUGUCGAUGGCGAGGAUGGCGACGAGGACGUCGACGAGUUCAACGGCUUCGACGCACUGAGCGAGUACGACGCCGGCGUGACGGAGAUCGACGAGGAGGACGAAAAGGCCCUCGCUGCAUUCAUGUCCAAGGAAACCUCCUCCAAAGGAUCGCUCUGUGACAUCAUCCUCCAGAAGAUCAGAGAGGAGGACGCCACUGUCUCAACAUAAGGAGGGGAGCUGGCCUUCUUCACGUCUCAUGGGAGUGUCUUCCUUGGAUUCAACAAGAAGGGGACCCGGCCUUCUUCAUGUCUUGUCCAACAAGGGUGAUCGACGCGGACUACCACAGCCUGGUGGGUGUCGUUCUCUUCAACCACUCGGAGGUGGACUUCUCCGUGAAGCCCGGAGACUGCGUCGUGCAGAUGAUCGUCCAGGUGAUUGCGAAUUGCGACGCCGGAGGUCACCGAGGUGGAGGACCUCGACGUCACCGUCCGGCGGGAGGGAGGGUUUGGGUCCACCGGUGUUUGAACCCCGAGUCUUUGUAGUUACAUCUAGACAAGUGAUCUGGUUGUUUGCGGCUAAUGUUAAAUGGGAUCUCGUGAAUCUCCGAGUUGAGAUGUUCAAUGUUGCGUCCAUUAACGCUGCAAGUGCUAAGAUGGUUAUGUGAUCUUGGUUUAUUUUGCACUAGACAUGUCUUGAUUUCCA